rnacentral:lncRNA from 1 species
AGGAGCUGGGUCCAAUCCAAUUCUUCUUUAGAAAUUCACCGACCUUCUUGGUGACGAAUUACCAUUUAAUUGGCAAUUUGAUUUAUUUAUUUUUGUUUUUCUUAAAAACUUUGCUAUUCUUAAAAAACGUGGGCCUCUUAUGUUGAUUGGGCUGCUUUUCAGAGUCAAGGCCCAGUCUCUUGUUUUUUUUUUGUUUUGUUUUGUGGGCCUCUUUGUGAGAAUAGGCCGGCGCGUGGAUUUCUCUUUGGCCCAAACAAAUAUCGACGAUAAUAUUGGAAAAUAUCGACGAUGAUAUUGAAAAAUAUCGAUGUCGAUAAUUUCUCUCACACUUCAGCAACAUUUGACUAAAAUAUCGCUAUAAUAUCGAUAAUAUCGAGAUGAUGAAGACAAUGAAAAAUUUGAAGAGUUAUUUACACUAACAUCCCCUGAGGUUUCUUGUUUUUCACAAAACCCUUCUCAUGUCUCCAAAAUUAC